UACGGGGGGGGGCAAGCGUUGUUCGGAAUUACUGGGCGUAAAGGGCUCGUAGGUGGCCAACUAAGUCAGACGUGAAAUCCCUCGGCUUAACCGGGGAACUGCAUCUGAUACUGGAUGGCUUGAGUUUGGGAGAGGGACGCGGAAUUCCAGGUGGUAGCGGUGAAAUGCGUAGAUAUCUGGAGGAACACCGGUGGCGAAGGCGGCGUCCUGGACCAACACUGACACUGAUAGCGAAAGCCAGGGGAGCAAACGGG
rnacentral:rRNA from 1 species